GAUGAACGCUAGCGGCAGGCUUAAUACAUGCAAGUCGAGGGGCAGCAUGACUGUAGCAAUACAGUUGAUGGCGACCGGCAAACGGGUGCGGAACACGUACAGAACCUUCCUUCGAGCGGGGAAUAGCCCAGAGAAAUUUGGAUUAAUACCCCAUAGUAUAGCGGAGUGGCAUCACUCGGUUAUUAAAGAUUUAUCACUUGAAGAUGGCUGUGCGGCUGAUUAGGUAGUUGGCGGGGUAACGGCCCACCAAGCCUGCGAUCAGUAACUGGUGUGAGAGCACGACCAGUCACACGGGCACUGAGACACGGGCCCGACUCCUACGGGAGGCAGCAGUAAGGAAUAUUGGUCAAUGGACGAAAGUCUGAACCAGCCAUGCCGGGUGGAGGAUGAAGGUCCUCUGGAUUGUAAACUUCUUUUAUAUGGGACGAAAAAAGGCUUUUCUAAGUCGUCUGACGGUACCAUAUGAAUAAGCACCGGCUAACUCCGUGCCAGCAGCCGCGGUAACAC
rnacentral:rRNA from 1 species